rnacentral:rRNA from 1 species
GAUGAACGCUGGCGGCGUGCUUAACACAUGCAAGUCGAACGGUGAAAGCGGAGCUUGCUCCGCUGGAUCAGUGGCGAACGGGUGAGUAACACGUGAGCAAUCUGCCCUUGGCUUCGGGAUAGCCACCGGAAACGGUGAUUAAUACCGGAUACGACCACUCCUGGCAUCAGGUGGUGGUGGAAAGUUUUUCGGCCAGGGAUGUGCUCGCGGCCUAUCAGCUUGAUGGUGAGGUAAUGGCUCACCAUGGCUUCGACGGGUAGCCGGCCUGAGAGGGUGACCGGUCACACUGGGACUGAGACACGGCCCAGACUCCUACGGGAGGCAGCAGUGGGGAAUAUUGGACAAUGGGCGGAAGCCUGAUCCAGCAACGCCGCGUGAGGGAUGACGGCCUUCGGGUUGUAAACCUCUUUCAGCAGGGACGAAGCGCAAGUGACGGUACCUGCAGAAGAAGCACCGGCCAACUACGUGCCAGCAGCCGCGGUAAUAC